rnacentral:rRNA from 1 species
AACGAACGCUGGCGGCAUGCCUAACACAUGCAAGUCGAACGAGAUCUUCGGGUCUAGUGGCGCACGGGUGCGUAACGCGUGGGAAUCUGCCCUUGGUUCGGAAUAACAGUUGGAAACGACUGCUAAUACCGGAUGAUGACGAAAGUCCAAAGAUUUAUCGCCAGAGGAUGAGCCCGCGUAGGAUUAGCUAGUUGGUGUGGUAAAGGCGCACCAAGGCGACGAUCCUUAGCUGGUCUGAGAGGAUGAUCAGCCACACUGGGACUGAGACACGGCCCAGACUCCUACGGGAGGCAGCAGUGGGGAAUAUUGGACAAUGGGCGAAAGCCUGAUCCAGCAAUGCCGCGUGAGUGAUGAAGGCCUUAAGGUUGUAAAGCUCUUUUACCCGGGAUGAUAAUGACAGUACCGGGAGAAUAAGCUCCGGCUAACUCCGUGCCAGCAGCCGCGGUAA